rnacentral:lncRNA from 1 species
GACCAUUGUGAUCAAACCAGUUUUCAGCUCAAAAUUGUUGACGUUGACUGGUGGGGGUUUCUGAUAGAUAUACUACGGUAUAAAUGCCUCAUUAAUCGGAGGCUGCUUCUGCUCCUUUAUCUUUUUCUGCGCAUCCAAUAAUUGCUGCAGCUGCUCCUAUAGAGCAUGAAUCUGUUCAGCAGUAGCCAUCGUAUCUAACGCACUACACAGAAAAUUCCAAAAGUAGAAUCAGACCCACAAGAAAAAUAAAAUAAAAAUAAAAAAUAAUUAAAAAAAAUAGUAAACGCCUGAAUUACUGCUAAGUCCUAUAAGAAAUAUUAAAGUAAUCUCUACACAGUCCCCGGCAACGGCGCCAAAAAGUUGAUCACUAAUUUCUUAGCAACAAAAUACCGCAACUAACACGGUGUAACUGUAGCAUUUAUAGCAAUCGAGUAUCGUAUCC